rnacentral:misc_RNA from 1 species
AACGCACAUUGCGCCCGCCAGCACUCUGGCGGGCAUGCCUGUCCGAGCGUCAUUUCGACCCUCAGGCCCCCCUUGAAAAAGGGGGACCUGGCGUUGGGGGACGGCACCCGCGGGGCCACCAGGCCCCGCCGCCGCCCCCGAAAUGCAGUGGCGGCCACGUCGCAGCGACCUCCGCGUAGUAGCAAAACACGUCGCGGGAAGGGAGCGCGUCGCGGCCACGCCGUGAAACUGUUGCUUGCCUGCUGGACGCCCGCAACUCUGCGGAAGUCCGUCACCAACAACAAAACCCACUAGAGUUGACCUCGGAUCAGGUAGGAAUACCCGCUGAACUUAA